rnacentral:rRNA from 1 species
GUUAAAAAGCUCGUAGUUGGAUUUCUGUCGGUGAGGUUCAGUCCGCCCAAGUGGUUGGUACGUGAUCCGCCACCGGCAUCUUCCUGGGGAAUGUGUCUGCUCUUAAUUGGGUGGUACAUAAGCCAGGACUUUUACUUUGAAGAAAUGGGAGUGUUUCAAGCAGGCAUGCGCCGUGAAUACGUUAGCAUGGGAUAAUAGCAUCGGACCUCGUUCCAAAGCUGUUGGUUUCUUGGACCGAGGUAAAGGUGAAUAGGGAUUGUUGGGGGCAUUCGUAUUUGACUGUCAGAGGUGAAAUUCUUGGAUUUGUUGAAGACGGACUACUGCGAAAGCAUCUGCCAAAGAUGUUCUCAUUGAUCAAGAACGAAAGUUAGGUGAUCGAAGACGAUCAGAUACCGUCCUAGUCUUAACCAUAAACUAUGCCGACUGGAGAUCGGGGGUCGUUAAUUAUGUGACGCCCUCUGCAUCUUGAGAGAAAUCAAAGUCUUUGGGUUCCGGGGGGAGUAUGGUCGCAAGGCUGAAACUUAAAGGAAUCGACGGAAGGGCACCACCAGGAGUGGAGCCUGCGGCUUAAUUUGACUCAACACGGGAGAACUUACCAGGUCCAGACAUAGUAAGGAUUGACAGACUGAUAGCUCUUUCGAGAUUCUAUGGGUGGUGGUGCAUGGCCGUUCUUAGUUGGUGGAGUGAUUUGUCUGGUUAAUUCCGUUAACGAA